rnacentral:rRNA from 1 species
GAUGAACGCUGGCGGCGUGCCUAAUACAUGCAAGUCGAGCGAACAGACGAGGAGCUUGCUCCUCUGACGUUAGCGGCGGACGGGUGAGUAACACGUGGAUAACCUACCUAUAAGACUGGGAUAACUUCGGGAAACCGGAGCUAAUACCAGAUAAUAUAUUGAACCGCAUGGUUCAAUAGUGAAAGACGGUUUUGCUGUCACUUAUAGAUGGAUCCGCGCCGCAUUAGCUAGUUGGUAAGGUAACGGCUUACCAAGGCAACGAUGCGUAGCCGACCUGAGAGGUUGAUCGGCCACACUGGAACUGAGCCACGGUCCAGACUCCUACGGGAGGCAGAAGUAGGGAAUCUUCCGCAAUGGGCGAAAGCCUGACGGAGCAACGCCGCGUGAGUGAUGAAGGUCUUCGGAUCGUAAAACUCUGUUAUUAGGGAAGAACAAAUGUGUAAGUAACUAUGCACGUCUUGACGGUACCUAAUCAGAAAGCCACGGCUAACUACGUG